AGAGCUGAGGAAAGCUCUCUGGGGAAGUGUCCUGAGUCACGAACAAAUGAAUUAUGAAAACGUUUCUUUCAGGCAAUGAUAUGGAGGCCCAUGAUGAUCAGAGAGAGGGAUGCAGGGACAAGUACUGCCAAGCAGGAAAGUCUUGGACAUGACAAUGAGCCACAAGCAGGAACUGGGCACGUGUGAUGCUGAGAGUGGAAGGGGAGACCAGGACAAGGACUGGGAUUCCUUCAGAAGGAGAAAAUUGGAGAAUAUUUACUAUGUUGGGAACUAAAGGUCAGUGUCUCCAAUGUUCCUCAAAUCUUAAAAGUAGAACUGCUGUACACACACA
rnacentral:lncRNA from 1 species